UGUUAUGAUGCUUGACUUCACUCACUCAUUCAUUCUCUCUGAGAGAUGCCCUAUCCACAAGACCCACGUACAAGCCCUACAGACUCAUGCUAAGAUGAAGCUUCUACUGGCACUUUGUGCAGUUUGGAACAUCAUCCAACUAUCAGAGGGCUGUUCUUCUGGAAGUACUGUACAAGAUUCCAUUGUACUGUCCAUUUUGUUCAUGUUCAGAUUUAUGUCCAGGAGUAAAAGAUCAUAACAGGGUGUGUUUCUUCCCAGUAAUGACAGAUCGACUCGCCUGUGUAUCUGAUUAUUGGUUUACAAUUACCUGUACUUUGAACAUCACUGACGAGCCUGCAGAUGUCAACAACACCCACUACUGGUUGAAUUUCAUCUGGCCUGAUGAAGCUGGGAACACAUUCAAAUGUCCACUGGUGGAGAUGGGGGACAGUUAUGGUUGCACAUUUGUGGCUGAUUUUGAUGAGAAUGUAAGGUAUAACAACGCUUCAUUUAAUAGCGUGGACUGUUUCAAUGUACGUCUUUGUUAUAACAUUGACUGCCAAUCAAACUAUGAUAACUUGACAGACUUCGAACCAUCCAAAAAUAGUAAGUUCCCUGUGAAGAUUAUAUUGAUUUGCAAUUCAUGGAAAAUUGCAUGAAAUAAUUAUGAUUGUGCAAAAUAUAUUUUUCUAUAGCUGACAAAUAAGUGUAAUGACUAACUCUUUGUCAUCAGUUCAACCAACAGCUCCAAGUCAUCUCGCUGUCCAGCGGACUUCAGAGGGUUACAAAUGCACUUGGCAAAGUGGAUAUGAACACCAUCCUUAUUUAACAGAGUUCCAUUACCAACUCUGCUUCUACAAAUACCAUGGCGAUAAGGGCGAGGUGUUUUGUGUGUCCCCUCAAAACAAAUCUAUUUUAAUUGAUAGAUCUGGACUUAAGCCAGAUACCACAUAUGUUCUGAAAGUGAGAUCCGGGCUAUAUAAGUCCUCUGGAUAUAAAGGACAGUGGAGUCCGUGGAGUGCAUUGGUGCAAUUGAGGACUGAUGCAAAGGAAGGUGGGAGAGAUCUGCUUUGAAGACAAACUAGUUAAAGCAUAUACCACUCUUACCUAUCCCCUCUUUGUUUUUGUCCCAAAAUAUGCUAUGGAGAAACCAUUUAGGCUGCGUUUAGACAGACCAAUUAGUGGGGAAAAUAUUUGAAUUUGGCUGCUUCUCUAAACACAGCCAUUGAUGCAUAUACUAUGUUUCUCCUUCAGCAGAACCAACUAUAGUCCUUGUCCUCAGCAAGUUUGUAUUUCCAGGUUGUGUGAUUGCUGGAGUUCUGUUGUUUGGAUUUUACAACCCCACUAUAAGAAUGAAGAUAAAAUCUUUCUAUGAUGUGCCAAGCCCAGCCCCUUUAUUCCAACCUCUCUACAAAGAUUAUAACAGACAUUUCCAGGACUGGCUUGAGUCAGAGUGCAAUAUGAUACCAACAUACAAACCAGAAGCGUUCCUGACCAUCGAUACUUUGAUUAUUGAGGCCAAACCUAUAGUAGAGGACCAGGACUGUUCAGCUACAACACCAUAUCCCCUAGCACAAGUUCACACUCCCUAUGUUGGUCCCUCCGUGAUGGACUGGGUCUGCAGUCACAGUCCAAAUGGAAAUGGUCCAGGGGACAUCCCUUACACCCAGCUGCCCUGCUCUCCCCUAGAGCUCCAGUUUGGAGGGAAGGGCACCUCUUUCUCUCAGGACCCUUCGGUCACCUGCGAGGGGGACUCUGGAUGCGAGGACUUAACACUCAGCCCAGACAGCAGCUUGCCUAAUAGUCCUGUAUCUAGUGAGCCAGAAUGCACCUGUACUGAUUACUGUAUCCUACACGAAACCUCUAAAGGUUUUGUCCCCACUGUUGUGCCCAAAGAGGUCUCUACUCAUCCCUUGAAGAGUUAUUGCAUAGAGGAACCAGAUAAGGAGGAAACCUGUGCCACUGAGUGAAGUUACCAAAUGUUACAUCAUAUGCCAAUAGGACAGACAGCCUACCUCUUGGGUUGUACAAAUGUACUGAGCAAGGGGUGUUAUAGUCUUUAUAAUUGCCUAAAUGACAUAUGUUGUCUUACGAUCAUUUGCAGUUUCUUAUUUGUAAUUCUGAUGUAGAAUUGUGUAUACUGUAAUGAAGUGUGUUUUGUCUGUUUGAAAUAAUGUACAUUUUUUAAUUACUAUAUCAAUUGUGUGAUAGCUUAAAUAGCUAUUUUGGACCAGUUAAUUUCAUAAUUUGUAUGCACUGAUGGCACUAGAGCCAUUGAUCCUUCAGUAUGUGAGAACCACCAGAGGACGCUGCGACUCAACACUUGCUACUAUCUAUAUGAGAAAUUGGCGAGGUGCAGUUUCUUGGAUGAACAAUUUCAGCUAUAUGUAAUAUUUCGAAAGUAGUUUAAUAACCCUGUAAUUACUAUGUCCUUUAAUUUGUCUUGUAUUACAUACUUGUUCGCUAUUGUAAA